rnacentral:lncRNA from 1 species
GGCCAGCCCGGAAGCUGGCUUCCUCCAGGCUCCCCCUCUAGCUGCUGCUGCCAAGCUGCCUCGCAGCCAGGCUGACUGAGACUUGGUUCUGCACUCACUGCCCAAGAGACAUGAGGGGUUUUCUCUUGGGGAGAAAUCGGUGGUCGAGGGCUGCCCGGUUCGAAUGCCACCCUGCGGGAGGGAGGCCUGCAGUGUAGGGAUCCCUGAGGGAGAGAAAGUCCUGGGACCAAGGAAACCAGCUUUUGGAGAUCGACCUUUCUGUGCAACGUCACACCUCCUGAGGACAGCCAGGAGGACUCCAGCUUUUGCUGAGCAUUGCAUCUUACCUCUUCCUUUCAAAGGCUCCAGAUCCCAGCUUACCUGUCCUCAAGCUUACCUGUGCCCCAACCAGGCAUCCCACUACCCCUCCAGCCCAGCCCAGCCCUAG